rnacentral:rRNA from 1 species
CGCUGGCGGCACGCCUAACACAUGCAAGUCGAACGAAGUAGCAAUACUUAGUGGCAGACGGGUGAGUAACAUGUAGGUAUCUUCCCUUUGGCCUGGAAUAACACGAGGAAACUUGUGCUAAUACUGGAUAAGUCUUUACGGAGAAAGCUUUAUGCACCAUUGGAUGAGCCUGCACUUGAUUAGUUUGUUGGUGGGGUAAUGGCCUACCAAGACUUUGAUCAAUAGCUGAUUUGAGAGGAUGAUCAGCCACAUUGGGACUGAGACACGGCCCAAACUCCUACGGGAGGCAGCAGUGGGGAAUCUUGCACAAUGGAGGAAACUCUGAUGCAGCGAUGCCGCGUGAGUGAAGAAGGCCCUUGGGUUGUAAAGCUCUUUCGUCGGGGAAGAAAAUGACUGUACCCGAAUAAGAAGGUCCGGCUAACUUCGUGCCAGCAGCCGCGGUAAUACGAAGGGACCUAGCGUAGUUCGGAAUUACUGGGCUUAAAGAGUUCGUAGGUGGUUGAAAAAGUUGGUGGUGAAAUCCCAGAGCUUAACUCUGGAACUGCCAUCAAAACUUUUCAGCUAGAGUUUGAUAGAGGAAAGCAGAAUUUCUAGUGUAGAGGUGAAAUUCGUAGAUAUUAGAAAGAAUACCAAUUGCGAAGGCAGCUUUCUGGAUCAUUACUGACACUGAGGAACGAAAGCAUGGGUAGCGAAGAGGAUUAGAUACCCUCGUAGUCCAUGCCGUAAACGAUGUGUGUUAGACGUUGGAAAUUUAUUUUCAGUGUCGCAGCGAAAGCGAUAAACACACCGCCUGGGGAGUACGAC